rnacentral:rRNA from 1 species
GAUGAACGCUGGCGGCGUGCCUAACACAUGCAAGUCGAACGGAGAUUACGGACGGAAGUUUUCGGAUGGAAGACUGUAAUUCUUAGUGGCGGACGGGUGAGUAACGCGUGGGCAACCUGCCCUAUACAGGGGGAUAGCAGCUGGAAACGGCUGGUAAGACCGCAUAAGUCGGCGAGACCGCAUGGUUUUGCCGGGAAAUGAGCAAUCAGGUAGGAUGGGCCCGCGUCCGAUUAGCCAGUUGGCAGGGUAAAAGCCUACCAAAGCAACGAUCGGUAGCCGGACUGAGAGGUCGGACGGCCACAUUGGGACUGAGACACGGCCCAAACUCCUACGGGAGGCAGCAGUGGGGGAUAUUGCACAAUGGAGGAAACUCUGAUGCAGCGACGCCGCGUGAGUGAAGAAGUAUUUCGGUAUGUAAAGCUCUAUCAGCAGGGAAGAUGAUGACGGUACCUGACUAAGAAGCCCCGGCUAACUACGUG